GUAUAUAUUUGUGACCCAACAAUCCAAAAGCAAGAUAGAAUGAUUUUACCAAAUUUGAGUUGGGAUUACAUUUGCAUUCGGUGAAGAAUAAUUAUUGUCAAUUUCUAUGAACAAAUUAUUCUAAAUAAUCCUUUGGAGUCACCACAAAUAGCACAUAAAGUGGCAAACAGGCAUCGCCUCAAUUGAAAUGGAUUGCUUUUAUUUGAAUGGCCAUAUCGGGGCCAAAUUAAGAUUAAUAGAUUAGAUGGAGGCUGUAACCUAUAGUUCAUAGUCUUGGGUAUAUCAAAUCAUCCCAUGAAUUAGAAUAGAAAGUUUAUAAUUGACCAAGAUAGGUCUAUGAAAUAUUGGGUUGUUUGUAGUGUUGUGUAAGUCCUUAUUUAUUCGGUCCCGUCCAGUGUUAGGAUCAGUCCUUUAUACUGUCAUUCCUUUGGACUGUCAUUACUAGAACUGAUUAAAAAGGAAGAAAUAAAGUUAAGUGUCAUCAGCAAGGACCGAAAUUUACAAGUUUACAAGACGUAUAUGCAGAACUGAAUGGGACCAGACUGAUACUGAACUGGAUUCUUCAGUCCUAAAUAAGGACUGACGUAACACUAGCUGCAUGUCAAGAAGCGGAGUGCAACCUCUUUUGACCAUGGAAGUACCACGAAGAAAACAAAGCAGACCUAUGACAAUAUGGAGUCCAUCGUGAUCCUUGACGAUUCCCCUAUGCCGGAUGAUCUCAUAGAAGGAUCCUUUAUUGAAGCGAAGCCACAUUUUAAUAGAGACUCUUGUGAAAAUGAAACAUUUAAAGACACUGAUCUUUCAAAGGAUGCUUUAGGGCGGUUUGCUUUAAGUAUGUCGGAUUUACUACGAGCCAUUCAUAAAAGGCAAAGAUCAAACGCCAUGUUUGAUGUACAUAAAGUAUUAAACGCCUAUAUUAAUGAACAGCAAGUGAAAGUUGAGAUAUCAUCAUCAUAGAUCAAGAUGAAAAAAACAAACAAAAAAAAAACACUAAACAUUCUCUAGUUACAAUAUUUACCGUUAUAUUACCUUUGUCAUUAUUAUUUGAUAGUAUUACUAUUAUUUCUCUCUCCUCAAUGUAUGCAUAUUAUGUAUUUGUAGGCUAACACUACUCUAGUUUAAUUUACGAUAGUACAAUGAAUUGUUAUGUAGCUAAAUUUCCAUACCUAUUAUAUCCUUAUAUAUCCUCAUUUUUUAAACUUUGUGAUACAAUAAUUGUUUAGAGUUUAGUCAAUAUACGCGUUCCACACCCA
rnacentral:misc_RNA from 1 species